AGAGGUAUGAAUGUAUCGUAAUCUAAGAGGUACGAACAUGUUAUGAUCCAAAGGGUGCGAUUGUUUCAUGACCGAAAAUGUGUAAACGGGUCGUGACCCAAAAGGCUAUGAACGGGUUGUGACCAAAAAGAUGUGAAUGGAUCAUGACUGAAAGAAUGUGAAAGUGUCGUGAAUGUGACCAAAACGGUGCAAAUAGGUUGUGACCAAAAGGAUACAAAUGGUCAUAAUAAAUAGAUAUGAGCAAAGUAAGAAAUAAAAAAGACAUAAUUUUUUAUCUCAGUACUAAUAAAUACAACUUUUAAUAUUAAAAACUUAAGAGAUGAAAUUUAUUACAUUUAUCCUGAUUAAACAGUUAUAAAUAUUAAUAUGGUGUCAUCAACGAAGAGGUACAAAUUUGUUUUGAUCUUAAAUGUGUCAUAAUCUAAGAGGUACAAACGUGUUGUGAUUUAAGAGGUAUAAACGUGUCAUGAUCCAAGGGGUGCAGACAUGUCGUGACUAAAAAGGUGCGAAUGUGUCAUGACCAAAAAUGUGCAUACAGGUCAUGACCGAAAGACUACAAACGAGUUGUGACCGAAAUUAUGCGAAUAGAUCAUGACCGAAAGGGUGUGAAAGUGUCAUGAACGUACCAAAAAAGUGCAAAUAAGUCGUGACCGAAAGGAUGUGAAAGUGUCAUGAACAUGACAAAUGGAUCAUAUAUUUUUUUUUCAAAAACUAGUAAUUACAAAUAUUCAAGUUAUAAAACUUAAGAGAUGCAACUUUCCAUGUAAAAAAUUUAAGAGAUUUAAAUUUUUAUAUUAAUACAUCUAUUUUUAGGUAUAAAACAAUUGCAAAUAUUUAUGUUAAAUUCGUCAAAGAUCAAUUUUUUAAAUAAAUAAAAUGAAAAUAAUGCACAAAGAAAAUUGUGUGUGAUUUACCAAUAAAAAUAUGUAUUGUACAACAUCUCUUAAAGUUGUCAUAUAAUCAUGAUUUGAGAAUACAUAGAUUUACACAGUUUCAAAAAUCAUGAAAGUAAUACUUGUCAUUAUAAAUUACUUACUAAAUUAGUAAAUGGUUAAAUUUAAGCGUGUUGCUUAUUUUAAUUAAUUCGAAAAAUAUUAAGUAUUGUUUAAAAUUUUAUAAAACCUCCCUAAAUUAAUAGAAGAUUUAUAUUUUUGGUAUUGACAUAUUUGUAUUUUAGUUGUAAUCUAAAUUAUAAAAUAUAAGUUUCUUAUAUUAUCUAUAAAUGAAUAGAAACACAUAUAUUCGACAUGAGAUUUUUUUUUUGAAAAAAAAUUAAAAUUUUUCUUAUAUAAAAAUUAAAAUUAUAAAGUGAUAUAUAUUUUUUUUAAAUGAGUUUCCACGCGAUAUCACGUAGGUUUUUUACCUAGUUUUUUUAGAACUAUUUGUGUGAUAAAAACUUAAUAAAGGCUAUUCUAUAGAAUUGUCCAAAGAUCUAUCUUAUGGCCAUAACAUGGUUAGCUCCAUUAUAACAAUAAACAGCCGUUUUUCUUAUUGGUAGGUUUGCUAUUACACAAUCAAGUGUGACAGUAUCAGGAUUCAGGAGUGCAUGCAUAUAUUUUACAAACUAACAGCCAACUUUAAUCAAAAGGUUGAACUGAUUACAUAAACUAACAACACAACUCUCGAUCAUACUAUAAUGUAAUAAUAUAAGAGAAUUGUUAGCUAGAAACGGGUAUUACCACGACAAAUAUUAGCUCUGGCGGAGUUUUCUCUAGCGACAGUGCCAGACAUAAGCAGAUGCCAAAAUAUGGAUCUUUUCAGAUAGAAUUUUCAACGUGCAUGUGGUCCACUCCUUUUUACACACGCAGCCCGUGUAUUCGAGAACUCAAGUCUUGGUCUUUUUGUCCCUCUUAAAAUUAUAGAAGUAUCUUAUCAUUUUGAACGUGUGUAUUAUUUUCCCAUAUUGUCUCUUAGUGACACUUGCUUUUUCUUUUGAAUUUUAUUUUUUAAUUUAGUCUAGUUCUAGAAUGUAUUUUUUUCUAAGGUUGUGUAAAAGCUAUAAGACAUUUUCGUAGUAUUAUUACGAUCAGUAUAUAAAUACGUAUUAGUAUUUAUUUUUGUGGCAAAACCACUUGGGGCUGAUUUUGAAAGAAAAAAAAACCACUUGAGACUGAUAAUCCUAUUGAAGUAUACAACAUUCUAAAUGUUAUAUGUGUAAAGUAUAUAAAGUAAAAUACUACAUUUUCAAAACUCGUGAUCCUGAACAUCGUAGCCCAAUGAUAAGGACAAACUUCUUUCUACAACUAAAUUACGAAUUCGAAUCGUGCUGGAAGAAAUUAUUUCACGAUGCCUUUGAACAUUCACACGGAUAUGAACUCUUGCUUUCAGUCUAAUUGCAAAUUUGGUGCGCAAGCAUACUCGUAGGUCAUACGUUCCCAGAAAAUUAGUCUAGAUCUAUUGAGACAUGAAAUUUACUCUUCAGUUAUCAAAAAAAAAAUUGUGUACAUCUUUGAAUAAUCCUUUUUUUUAACAAGUACGUCCUUGAAUAAUCUUUUUCUUUAACAAGUACGUCCUAGAAUAAUCUAUCUAUCUCGCAAAACUAAUAUUUUUAUUCAAAUAAAAAACACGAAUAUAAUUAUAUUUCCCUUAUAAUUUAUACGUAAUAAUUCUCAAGUCAAGCGUCAACUCCUUUAUUUUGGUAGUUAACAAAAAAUAACUAUAGAAAAAAGGAAAGUACAAUGCAAUGCAACGCACUGAGACCGAGUUUACCAAAACAUGGUGUGCGGAGGAGACCACUAAAACCCAAAACCAACUAGUGACAACUAAUAAGUCGACCACAGCUUCAGCACUCUCUUUCUUAUCUCGACCACUCUCUUUUUUGGCUUAAUUAAGUCUCUACCAUAUGUUAAAUUCUCUCUUAUCUCUACCUCUUUAUACUAUAUAUAAACGUAUCAACGUGAGUUAUAGUGAUCAGCCAGGUUACAAGAGAUACGUGUGAAUUAUUAAAGAUGUCUUCUAUAGUUUCUUCAGUGCUAUUUCUUCUUCUCCUGGUCUUUUCGCUUCACAUGGAUGAAGCAUUUGGUGCUCAAACGGAAAUCCGUAAACUUAAAGAGUCGGUCAAGAAGAGCAGAAUUUUGGAAGGAGGUGAAAACAGAAGCUCCAAAACUGCGGCUGGAGGGAGCAAAACGAAGCAUUGCAAGGGCCGCGCCAAAACAUUUAAAAACAUGGCGACCACUUAUCGUCCUGGACAUGGUCAGUUCCGUCCUCUUUCAGGAGUAUACUUGUCUUCUCCCUGCCAGCCCUGCCCCCCGCGCUCCUUCAACUGUUUUUCUUUUAGUUGCGUUACCACCGUACGCUGUCAAUCCAUCAACGGCUCACGAACUACGUGCACACGCUCCGAGAAAUGUAAACUCAUACGGCCUCGCCAUUGAUUAGAUUAUAAGACUUUAAAUUAUAUAUAUAGUGUUUUUUUUUUUUCUAUGGUUCUUCGUUUCAUACAUAUGUUUCGUGCUGUAUUGUCAUAUAUAUUUAUAUUUAUCAUUUAUCAGAUGUAAAAUUUGGUACUUGUGUAUGAUAUAUACUACUAUCUGUUGAACU